ACCAGCUGGGGAUCUGCCAUCAGUUCAGCCCCGAUGUUCUGUUCACUACAUGCUUCUUCAAGGGCUCUUUUCUUUAGGAAAAGUUAUAGUUUAUAGUCUUUUCUGCUGUAAGAUUCUACACAGACCAAGCAAAGGACAUCCUCUGAGCCAUACACUUCUACUGGGGCUAGAGGAGGAUCUGUCAUGUUUACUUCCAUCACUGCUAAUAACAUUUCUGUCAAGAAUUCUGCUGAAUCCUACCUGAUCAACACUGCACAUCUCUCCAGCUUGUAAUCUCACUGAGAAAAUAGAGCAAACACGCCUCGGCUGUAUUGCUGUGGGGUCUCUCUACACAGACGAAACAGGAUGUUUACAUGGGCGCUUGGAGUUAAAAACACAAUCAUCUCCUUCCAGAACAUCAUUAUGUAGACUUUAUUCAAACAAAACUGUUACAUUAUUGAAAGAAAAACAUUUUAUGGACAGAAAAUAUUAUCUGGCAUUUUGGAAACGUGGAAAAUGUUUGCUGCGUCUAAUAGAUUCAUUCCAGACUCUUAUCUUUUUUAAUAAUAUUGGCUCAUCAGUGGCCCAGAUGGAAGAAUCUGUUCAUUCAUUCAUCUUUAGCAAAAACCUAUCCUGAUCAUUCUGAAUCCAGAGGCUGAUCUGAAUGUUUUUUAGAACUCUAAACAGACAGAGGAACCUGAAUUUCGGAUCUGACUUGGGACUCUGAAGCUAUGAGGC